GGCUCAGGACGAACGCUGGCGGCGUGCCUAAUACAUGCAAGUCGAGCGGACCAAAGGGAGCUUGCUCCUGGAGGUCAGCGGCGAACGGGUGAGUAACACGUGGGCAACCUGCCUGUAAGACUGGGAUAACAUCGAGAAAUCGGUGCUAAUACCGGAUAAUAAAAAGAACUGCAUGGUUCUUUUUUGAAAGAUGGUUUCGGCUAUCACUUACAGAUGGGCCCGCGGCGCAUUAGCUAGUUGGUGAGGUAACGGCUCACCAAGGCAACGAUGCGUAGCCGACCUGAGAGGGUGAUCGGCCACACUGGGACUGAGACACGGCCCAGACUCCUACGGGAGGCAGCAGUAGGGAAUCUUCCGCAAUGGACGAAAGUCUGACGGAGCAACGCCGCGUGAGUGAUGAAGGUUUUCGGAUCGUAAAACUCUGUUGUUAGGGAAGAACAAGUGCCGUUCGAAAGGGCGGCACCUUGACGGUACCUAACGAGAAAGCCACGGCUAACUACGUG
rnacentral:rRNA from 1 species